AGAACGAACGCUGGCGGCAGGCCUCAAACAUGCAAGUCUAGGGGGCGUAGCAAUACGUCACCGGCGGACGGGUGCGUAACACGUGGGAAUGUACUUAUUGGUUCGGAACAACUCAGGGAAACUUGAGCUAAUACCGAAUGUGCCCGAAAGGGGAAAGAUUUAUCGCCAAUAAAUCAGCCCGCGUCCGAUUAGCUAGUUGGUGGGGUAAAGGCCCACCAAGGCGACGAUCGGUAGCUGUUCUGAGAGGAAGAUCAGCCACACUGGGACUGAGACACGGCCCAGACUCCUACGGGAGGCAGCAGUUGGGAAUCUUGGACAAUGGGGAAACCCUGAUCCAGCCAUGCCGCGUGAGUGAUGAAGGCCUUCGGGUUGUAAAACUCUUUCGACGGGGACGAUAAUGACGGUACCCGUAGAAGAAGCUCCGGCUAACUUCGCGCCAGCAGCCGC
rnacentral:rRNA from 1 species